rnacentral:misc_RNA from 1 species
UACGUAGGGGGCGAGCGUUGUCCGGAUUUAUUGGGCGUAAAGAGCUCGUAGGCGGCUCAGUAAGUCGGGUGUGAAAUCUCCAAGCUCAACUUGGAGGGGCCACUCGAUACUGCUGUGGCUAGAGUCCGGUAGGGGAGUGGGGAAUUCCCGGUGUAGCGGUGAAAUGCGCAGAUAUCGGGAGGAACACCGGUGGCGAAGGCGCCACUCUGGGCCGGCACUGACGCUGAGGAGCGAAAGCGUGGGGAGCGAACAGG